rnacentral:tRNA from 1 species
CCUGGUGGCUCAGAGGGUAAAGCGUCUGCCUACAAUGCAGGAGACCCGGGUUCAAUCCCUGGGUCAGGA